AACGAACGCUGGCGGCAUGCCUAACACAUGCAAGUCGAACGAGACCUUCGGGUCUAGUGGCGCACGGGUGCGUAACGCGUGGGAACCUGCCCUUAGGUUCGGAAUAACUCCCCGAAAGGGGUGCUAAUACCGGAUAAUGUCUUCGGACCAAAGAUUUAUCGCCUUUGGAUGGGCCCGCGUUGGAUUAGCUAGUUGGUAGGGUAAAAGCAUACCAAGGCGACGAUCCAUAGCUGGUCGGAGAGGAUGAUAAGCCACACUGGGACUGAGACACGGACCAGACUCCUACGGGAGGCAGCAGUAGGGAAUAUUGGGCGAGGGGCGAAAGCCUGAUCAAGCAAUGCCGCGUGAGUGAUGAAGGCCUUAGGAUUGUAAAGCUCUUUUACCCGGGAUGAUAAUGACAGUACCGGGAGAAUAAGCUCCGGCUAACUCCGUG
rnacentral:rRNA from 1 species